rnacentral:rRNA from 1 species
GAUGAACGCUAGCUACAGGCUUAACACAUGCAAGUCGCGGGGCAGCAUGGGGGUUGCUUGCAAUCCCCGAUGGCGACCGGCGCACGGGUGAGUAGCGCGUAUCCAACCUGCCCUUCACCACGGGAUAACCCGGCGAAAGUCGGACUAAUACCGUAUGUUGUCCAUUGACGGCCUCCGAUUUGGACGAAAGGUUUGGCGGUGAAGGAUGGGGAUGCGUCCGAUUAGCUGGACGGCGGGGUGACGGCCCACCGUGGCGACGAUCGGUAGGGGUUCUGAGAGGAAGGUCCCCCACACUGGAACUGAGACACGGUCCAGACUCCUACGGGAGGCAGCAGUGAGGAAUAUUGGUCAAUGGGCGUAAGCCUGAACCAGCCAAGUAGCGUGCAGGAUGACGGCCCUAUGGGUUGUAAACUGCUUUUAUGCGGGGAUAAAGUGGCCCACGUGUGGGUUUUUGCAGGUACCGCAUGAAUAAGGACCGGCUAAUUCCGUG